rnacentral:rRNA from 1 species
UACAGAGGGCCCAAGCGUUGUUCGGAUUUACUGGGCGUAAAGGGCGCGUAGGCGGUGGGGUAAGUCGGAUGUGAAAGCUCGGAGCUCAACUCCGAAACGGCAUUGGAAACUACCCUGCUAGAGGAUUGGAGGGGGGACUGGAAUACUUGGUGUAGCAGUGAAAUUCGUAGAUAUCAAGCGGAACACCGGUGGCGAAGGCGGCCUUCUGGACAGUGACUGACGCUGAGACGCGAAAGCGUGGGGAGCAAACAGG